rnacentral:rRNA from 1 species
ACUCCUACGGGAGGCAGCAGUAGGGAAUCUUCCACAAUGGGCGCAAGCCUGAUGGAGCAACACCGCGUGAGUGAAGAAGGGUUUCGGCUCGUAAAGCUCUGUUGUUAAAGAAGAACACGUAUGAGAGUAACUGUUCAUACGUUGACGGUAUUUAACCAGAAAGUCACGGCUAACUACGUGCCAGCAGCCGCGGUAAUACGUAGGUGGCAAGCGUUAUCCGGAUUUAUUGGGCGUAAAGAGGGGUGCAGGCGGUUUUCUAAGCCUGAUGUGAAAGCCUUCGGCUUAACCGGAGAAGUGCAUCGGAAACUGGAUAACUUGAGUGCAGAAGAGGGUAGUGGAACUCCAUGUGUAGCGGUGGAAUGCGUAGAUAUAUGGAAGAACACCAGUGGCGAAGGCGGCUACCUGGUCUGCAACUGACGCUGAGACUCGAAAGCAUGGGUAGCGAACAGGAUUAGAUACCCUGGUAGGAUAGCG